rnacentral:rRNA from 1 species
CCUACGGGAGGCAGCAGUGAGGAAUAUUGGUCAAUGGACGAGAGUCUGAACCAGCCAAGUAGCGUGAAGGAUGACUGCCCUAUGGGUUGUAAACUUCUUUUAUAUGGGAAUAAAACGUUCCACGUGUGGGAUUUUGUAUGUACCAUAUGAAUAAGGAUCGGCUAACUCCGUGCCAGCAGCCGCGGUAAUACGGAGGAUCCGAGCGUUAUCCGGAUUUAUUGGGUUUAAAGGGAGCGUAGGUGGAUUGUUAAGUCAGUGGUGAAAGUUUGCGGCUUAACUGUAGAAGUGCAGUUGAUACUGGUAGUCUUGAGUACAGUAGAGGUGGGCGGAAUUCGUGGUGUAGCGGUGAAAUGCUUAGAGAUCACGAAGAACGCCGAUUGCGAAGGCAGUUCACUGGACUGCAACUGACACUGAGGCGCGAAAGUGUGGGGAUCAAACAGGAUUAGAUACCCUUGUAGUC